CAGCCGCCGCGGUAAUACGUAGGUGGCAAGCGUUGUCCGGAAUUAUUGGGCGUAAAGGGCUCGCAGGCGGUUUCUUAAGUCUGAUGUGAAAGCCCCCGGCUCAACCGGGGAGGGUCAUUGGAAACUGGGAAACUUGAGUGCAGAAGAGGAGAGUGGAAUUCCACGUGUAGCGGUGAAAUGCGUAGGGAUGUGGAGGAACACCAGUGGCGAAGGCGACUCUCUGGUCUGUAACUGACGCUGAGGAGCGAAAGCGUGGGGAGCGAACAGGAUUAGAUACCCCUGUAGUCCCUGUCUCUUAUAC
rnacentral:rRNA from 1 species